rnacentral:misc_RNA from 1 species
GGUCCAAAGCUACUCAUGCGCUUAGUAGCCAACAAGCGGUCAAGCCAACCAAGCCUCCGCCCGUGCAGAGCACGGGAGGAUCACUCGAAGGAGGCGUCCAGCAAGGCCAAAUCACGCGUGUGUCACACCCGUAGCAAUAAAGUUACGGGUGCAACGAUCUUCCGAAGGCGACUUUAUCGGGACGUCGGUGCAACGUUGUCCAGCGGUCUUAUCGUGCACGAAACGGGCUACUUUCCUGUUUCCCGAGCCGCAUUCGGCUGUUGGGUCAGAAUUUCACGUGAGACGUACAGGGGACCGGGACAGCGAUGACGUUGCCCCCGGGGGGCAACGGUUUUCCGGAGGCGACAUUCGAGGGACACCGUUGCGACUGUUUACCGUCGGUCGGACCGUGUGCGAAACGGGGUACUUUCCUGUUUCCCGAGCCACGUUCGGCUGUUGGGUCAGGAUUUCUCACGAGACGUACACGA